GACGAACGCUGGCGGCGUGCUUAACACAUGCAAGUCGAACGGAAAGGCCCUGCUUUUGUGGGGUGCUCGAGUGGCGAACGGGUGAGUAACACGUGAGUAACCUGCCCUUGACUUUGGGAUAACUUCAGGAAACUGGGGCUAAUACCGGAUAGGAGCUCCUGCUGCAUGGUGGGGGUUGAAAGUUUCGGCGGUUGGGGAUGGACUCGCGGCUUAUCAGCUUGUUGGUGGGGUAGUGGCUUACCAAGGCUUUGACGGGUAGCCGGCCUGAGAGGGUGACCGGCUACAUUGGGACUGAGAUACGGCCCAGACUCCUACGGGAGGCAGCAGUGGGGAAUAUUGCACAAUGGGCGGAAGCCUGAUGCAGCAACGCCGCGUGCGGGAUGACGGCCUUCGGGUUGUAAACCGCUUUCGCCUGUGACGAAGCGUGAGUGACGGUAAUGGGUAAAGAAGCACCGGCUAACUACGUG
rnacentral:rRNA from 1 species